rnacentral:rRNA from 1 species
AUUGAGCGCUGGCGGCAUGCCUUACACAUGCGAAUCGAACGGUAACGGGCCUUCGGGUGCCGACGAGUGGCGAACGGGUGAGUAAUACAUCGGAACGUGCCCGAUCGUGGGGGAUAACGAGGCGAAAGCUUUGCUAAUACCGCAUACGAUCUACGGAUGAAAGCAGGGGACCGCAAGGCCUUGCGCGGACGGAGCGGCCGAUGGCAGAUUAGGUAGUUGGUGGGAUAAAAGCUUACCAAGCCGACGAUCUGUAGCUGGUCUGAGAGGAUGAUCAGCCACACUGGGACUGAGACACGGCCCAGACUCCUACGGGAGGCAGCAGUGGGGAAUUUUGGACAAUGGGCGCAAGCCUGAUCCAGCCAUGCCGCGUGCAGGAUGAAGGCCUUCGGGUUGUAAACUGAUUUUGUACGGAACGAAAAGCCUUCUUUUAAUACAGGAGGGUCAUGACGGUACCGUAAGAAUAAGCACCGGCUAACUACGUG